UGAAUGACGUCACUGUCAGCUGUGCUUGUGGACACAGACCCACUCGAAUUUGUUUGAAUGUUUACUACUCUCCGCUUAUAAACUAGAUUUUUUUUUACAUAGCAUAGUCCGCAGGCAUCUUGAAAUUCUCCCCAAAGUAAGUGAUGCGUCAAAAGAAGCUAUGGAGUCCACAUAUAUGUGAAAAGUACAGUAUCGUGUUCUCGUUUUGUUGGACCGUGAAUGGAGAUGCUGAUAAGGCGGCUGUCGAAUGUUGUUCUUUGCAGUUAUACGUGAUGUUAACAAGCGGCCUGCUCUUCUCUACCACCUGGAAGAAUACUUUUGUGCUGUUAUUUUUAAGAGGAGGCUGUUGUGACUAUACUGACUUGUGAGAUAGCUGAAGAUUUGUAGGUGAAAUCUGAGGUUACCCAGCUUGGCAAUGUUUACAUAUUUGUGUAAGAGUACUGCACUUGUUUUUGAAUGGUUCAAAGUGUGAUGCCGAGUAUAACUGGGCCGUUCGUGUUGGGCGGUGGAAGUGGUGGAGCAGGAGACAGAGAAAAUAGUGACGGUGGAGGUAAUCGUGGAGGAGGGAGGAGCAGUGGAGUGUCCCGGCCAAUGUCCAACGAGGAAUGUGGUAUCCGAGAAGUAUGGGCACACAAUAUGGAAGAGGAAUUUCAUCACAUCCGUCGCAUUGUGCACCAGUAUCCUUAUGUUGCCAUGGACACAGAAUUUCCUGGCGUGGUUGCACGGCCAAUUGGUGAAUUCCGAAGUAAUGCAGAUUACCAGUACCAGCUUCUACGAUGCAAUGUGGACCUGCUCAAAAUUAUCCAGUUGGGUCUAACUUUCCUAGAUGAACAGGGCAAAACACCACCUGGAUUUAGCACUUGGCAAUUUAAUUUCAAGUUUAAUCUUACGGAGGACAUGUAUGCGCAAGACAGUAUAGACCUGCUGCAGAAUUCUGGACUACAGUUCAAAAAGCACGAAGAGGACGGAAUUGAGCCAGUUAACUUUGCGGAACUUUUAAUGACGUCUGGAAUUGUGUUGUUUGAUAAUAUCAAGAUGCUCUCCUUCCACAGUGGGUAUGAUUUUGGAUACCUGUUGAAACUGCUAACAGAUCAGAACCUACCGUCAGAAGAAAGUGAUUUCUUUGAUCUUCUCAGACUCUACUUCCCCUCUAUAUAUGAUGUAAAGUACCUGAUGAAAUCCUGUAAAAACCUGAAAGGAGGACUACAGGAAGUUGCGGAACAGCUUGAACUUGAGCGUGUGGGUCCUCAGCAUCAAGCUGGGUCAGACUCACUUCUUACAGGUGCAGCCUUCUUCAAAAUGAAAGAGGUUUGUACUGUUGUCUAAGACUGUGAUACUCCCUCAUAUCAAGACUCAUUGUAGUAGAUGCAUCUCUUUCUGGCCAAGACUCAUAUUAGUUAUACUCAUCACUGGAGGAUUAAAGAUGUUUUUUGAAGACAAGAUUGACGAUGCAAAAUACUGUGGUCAUCUAUACGGCCUCGGGACUUCCUUUGUUGUGAACGGCAACUCAACAGCUUCAUACACAGACAAUGGUCACACAUCAGACUCAACGUCC
rnacentral:misc_RNA from 1 species